UACGGAGGGUGCGAGCGUUGUCCGGAAUCACUGGGCGUAAAGGGCGCGUAGGCGGCGCGACAAGUCAACGGUGAAAGCCUGGGGCUCAACCCCGGGUCGGCCGUCGAUACUGUUGGGCUUGAGCACUGUAGAGGCAGGUGGAAUUCCGGGUGUAGCGGUGGAAUGCGUAGAGAUCCGGAAGAACACCGGUGGCGGAGGCGGCCUGCUGGGCAGUAGCUGACGCUGAGGCGCGACAGCGUGGGGAGCAAACAGG
rnacentral:rRNA from 1 species